rnacentral:rRNA from 1 species
AGGGAAUCUUCGGCAAUGGGCGAAAGCCUGAUGCAGCAACGCCGCGUGAGUGAUGACGGUCUUCGGAUUGUAAAGCUCUGUCUUUUGGGACGAUAAUGACGGUACCAAAGGAGGAAGCCACGGCUAACUACGUGCCAGCAGCCGCGGUAAUACGUAGGUGGCAAGCGUUGUCCGGAUUUACUGGGCGUAAAGGAUGUGUAGGCGGAUACUUAAGUGAGAUGUGAAAGCCCCGGGCUCAACCUGGGGACUGCAUUUCAAACUGGGUAUCUAGAGUGCAGGAGAGGAAAGCGGAAUUCCUAGUGUAGCGGUGAAAUGCGUAGAGAUUAGGAAGAACAUCAGUGGCGAAGGCGGCUUUCUGGACUGUAACUGACGCUGAGGCAUGAAAGCGUGGGGAGCAAAC